rnacentral:rRNA from 1 species
GAUGAACGCUGGCGGCGUGCCUAAUACAUGCAAGUCGAGCGAACGGACGAGAAGCUUGCUUCUCUGAUGUUAGCGGCGGACGGGUGAGUAACACGUGGAUAACCUACCUAUAAGACUGGGAUAACUUCGGGAAACCGUAGCUAAUACCGGCUAAUAUUUUGAACCACAUGGUUAAACAGUGAAAGACGGUUUUGCUGUCACUUAUAGAUGGAUCCACGCCGCAUUAGCUAGUUGGUAAGGUAACUGCUUACCAAGGCAACGAUGCGUAGCCGACAUGAGAGGGUGAUCGGCCACACUGGAACUGAGACACGGUCCAGAGGCCUACGGGAGGCAGCCGUAGGGAAUCUUCCGCAAGGGGCGAAAGCCUGAGGGAGCAACGCCGCGAGAGUGAUGAAGGUAUUCGGAUCGUAAAACUCUGUUAUUAGGGAAGAACAGAUGUGUAAGUAACUAUGCACAUCUUGACGGUACCUAAUCAGAAAGCCACGGCUAACUACGUG